AUUGGUUUUGAUUUCCCUGCUCUGACAAUAGCCCUACAGGGAUGCUGUGGAGUGACAAUGAGGAAAGCGAGCCUUGGCCACACUUCAGUCACUUUGGGCAGCAGGGACCAGGAAGGCAGGAGGCCAGGGGACAGGCAGGAGGACAGGUAUCCACACCCUGGAGAAAGGUCUCGAAUAAGACUCAGCGCCCCCAGAGAGUAGGCUCCAGAGCAGCCGACCCUACGUCCCCUACUAUAGCCAGCACAGGGCAUGCCUGCUGCAUCCAGGGCCCUGCAGGGCGUGCAGUGCAGAGAGCAGAGUGUGUCCUGGGUCUUGAUCCCAGGCCCUGGGAAGGGAAGGAGACAGACAUGCUGAGCCCUUGUUUGUGUCAGUCCAUCUAAUUACGGCAAACUAGAGCAAGGGGUGCUUUCAUCCCCAUUACUCCUCUAGAGGAGAUACGAGAGGCUCUGAAAGGUACCUAGACUUGCCCAGGCCCUCCCAGUGAGCAGAGUGAUGCAGGGACACAAAUGCCCUCAGAAGGCUCACCCUGUGCCCUUUCUCCCACCUCCAGCCCUGCAGAAAUGUGUGGGAAGCUGUGCUCCUGCCCCAAGUGAGCCCCUGAGUCCCAACGGCAGGUCUGGCGCCAUCCUUUCCCAGGUCCACCUACUGCACCCAGCACAGCUGCCCGAAGAAUGCACUGGCCCUGUGGGCCUGGGGGCUGCCCCCUGUCCUGCUGAUUCCCCUGUCUUGGCUCCUCUUAGACCCCCCAUCCUUGGCCAGCUGUCUCAUGCAAGAGAGUCCACAUCCUGGGGACAGUCCCACCCUGGCCACCCGGACCAAGCACAGCUCCUCGCCCUCCCAGCCUGGCCGGUGCUCGCUGAGGUGGAAACCUCAGAAGAAGAAACUCAGCGGCCUCAUCUGCAGCGGGUUGGGCUGGGAGCCCAUCACGGAUGGGUUUACAAACCAGAAAUGUUAGACUACAAACAACAAUUUCACAUCUGUAAACCACUUCAUCUGAUGACAAACAUGGCCUCAGGCUCAAAUGUUUACAGCAAAUUGGGGCAAAAAUACUGUCUGGAGUUAAAUUCUCAGUAGCAAAUUGUACAAGCCGGAGAGCAGGGCAGCGCCUCCAGAGAGGAAAGAAGAGAGGGUGAGCCUCUCAUGCCUCCCCUACACUGGUCCCUUUGCCCAGAAUGACUGCACGUUUUUCAUCACUUGCUUCCAACAAGUGGAGUUAGGACUGUUAUCAAACCCAGAGACACAAGCAAAGGGCAGCUUUGACAAGCCGGUCCCUCCCGCACCCGCCCCUGCGUGGGAAAUGCCAAAGUCCUCUGCUCAGGGCGGGGCUGGGGUGCGCCCCGGAGUGCUCUGGGGCACCUGGAGGAGGUUUCUUUGUGUGAAGUCUCUGUCACUGUGUGUGGGUGUGUGUGUGUAUGUGUUUUGUGCAUGUGUUGUGUGUGUAUGUGUUGUGUGUGUUGUGUGUAUGUGUGUCUUGUGUGUGUUUGUGUGUUGUGUGUGUCUAGGCCAGGGAAAC